GUGGUCCUACGGGGCGCAGCAGUGAGGAAUAUUGGUCAAUGGGCGGGAGCCUGAACCAGCCAAGCCGCGUGAAGGAAGAAGGCGCCAGGCGUCGUAAACUUCUUUUGUCGGGGAACAAAGGGCGCCACGCGUGGCGUUGUGAGUGUACCCGAAGAAAAAGCAUCGGCUAACUCCGUGCCAGGAGCCGCGGUAAUACGGAGGAUGCGAGCGUUAUCCGGAUUUAUUGGGUUUAAAGGGUGCGUAGGCGGUCCGGCAAGUCAGCGGGAAAAGCGCGGGGCUCAACCCAGGC
rnacentral:rRNA from 1 species